rnacentral:rRNA from 1 species
GAUUUCUGGUAUGGUGCGCCUAUCCCACUGGGGUAACCUAGCGAGUGAUGGUGUGCGCCUGCCAUCCUUCUAGCGUUGCCUAUCGGUCUUAACUGAUCGGUAGGUGAACUAGAUCUUUUACUUUGAAAAAAUUAGAGUGUUUAAAGCAGGCUUGCGCUAUGAAUACAUUAGCAUGGAAUAAUAAUUUAGGACUUUUUUCCUAUUUUAUUGGUUUCUAGGAAUAAAGUAAUGAUUGAUAGGGAUAGUUGGGGGUGCUAGUAUUCGUCGGCCAGAGGUGAAAUUCUUGGAUUCGAUGAAGACUAACUAAUGCGAAAGCAUU